rnacentral:rRNA from 1 species
CCUGCCUGGUAGCGGGGGAUAACUAUUGGAAACGAUAGCUAAUACCGCAUAACAGUAGAUAUCGCAUGAUAUGUGCUUGAAAGGUGCAAUUGCAUCACUACCAGAUGGACCUGCGUUGUAUUAGCUAGUUGGUGAGGUAACGGCUCACCAAGGCAACGAUACAUAGCCGACCUGAGGGGGUGAUCGGCCACACUGGGACUGAGACACGGCCCAG